AGCCACUGAUGAAACUAGAUUCUGCCACAUGAGUCACUGUGAUAUUACAAUUUCCGUUCCACUUCUUUCUGAGGUU
rfam:Chlamydotis undulata macqueenii contig71569, whole genome shotgun sequence.